AAAGAACACCUACUGAAGCAUUGAGGAGACUCAAAUAAGGAGGUCGCCACCAAGAAGGCAUGAUGCGCCAAAGCGUGAAUUGUUACGCCACCAGAUACAUUUUGACGAAAGGACUAAGGAUAAUAGACAAGUUGAGACCCAAGGUUAAGUCAUGUAUGUGUUUCUUUACAAGUGUCGUGCAUCUAACUGGUGAUCACAUGGAUUAAUACACGUGUUGAACAUUCACUAGAACAAAGGAAAAUAUAUAGUUUACCAGGUAAGUGAUGGGAACUAUUCAAGUACUUCUCCAAGAAGUAGUAUUAGUAAGGAUGAACCGAGAGAGAAAUUCCUCUCAUCCUUUAAAGAUGAGCCUGGAAUGAGAGGAUCAGCCCUAAGAUGCCCCUUGUGAGGGGUUGUUGAUCUACUUGAAGAAAACCCAGAUUUGAUGUCUGAAGCUGCAAAAGGUGAAGAUCUUGUGAUGUUCUAUAAGGAUCCCAUGAGGGUUUUGUGAGUACCCUAUGAACUCUUUGAGGUUCUAACUAUGCAUGUGUGAUACGCUAAUUUUGUGAAAAUGUAUAUUUGAUAAGCCUACAUGCGUGGUUUGAUGCUUAAGUGACAAUGCGCCUCUGCUGUGAAAAAAAAGGUAUGAACACAAUGUAUAUGCAAGAAAACAUGAGAUGAACGAUAAGGCUUUGUUCUGUUGAAAAGUAUCUGUAUGCGUGUGUACUCAAAGCACGAUUGUCUUUGCAUAACGAGUCUGGGUUACAUGUCUGGAAAUGUAUAUGCAUUUGCAUGUUGAA